GAUGAAGAACGCAGCGAAAUGCGAUAAGUAAUGUGAAUUGCAGAAUCCAGUGAAUCAUCGAAUCUUUGAACGCACAUUGCGCCCGCCAGCAUUCUGGCGGGCAUGCCUGUUCGAGCGUCAUUUCAACCCUCGACCUCCCUUUGGGGAAGUCGGCGUUGGGGACCGGCAGCACACCGCCGGCCCUGAAAUGGAGUGGCGGCCCGUCCGCGGCGACCUCUGCGUAGUAAUCCAACUCGCCCCGGAACCCCGACGCGGCCACGCCGUAAAACACCCAACUUCUGAACGUUGACCUCGAAUCAGGUAGGACUACCCGCUGAACUUAAGCAUAUCAAUAAGCGGAGGA
rnacentral:misc_RNA from 1 species